GUAUCAUGGCGUCAGGAGUGAACGCUAGCUACAGGCUUAACACAUGCAAGUCGAGGGGCGAGCAUGGUCUUAGCUUGCUAAGGCUGAUGGCGACCGGCGCACGGGUGAGUAACACGUAUCCAACCUGCCGUCUACUCUUGGCCAGCCUUCUGAAGGAAGAUUAAUCCAGGAUGGGAUCAUGAGUUCACAUGUCCGCAUGAUUAAAGGUAUUUUCCGGUAGACGAUGGGG
rnacentral:rRNA from 1 species